UGGGGAAUAUUGGACAAUGGGCGCAAGCCUGAUCCAGCCAUGCCGCGUGAGUGACGAAGGUCUUCGGAUUGUAAAGCUCUUUUGGCGGGGACGAUAAUGACGGUACCCGCAGAAUAAGCCCCGGCUAACUUCGUGCCAGCAGCCGCGGUAAUACGAAGGGGGCUAGCGUUGUUCGGAAUCACUGGGCGUAAAGCGCACGUAGGCGGAUGUGCCAGUCAGGGGUGAAAUCCCGGAGCUCAACUUCGGAACUGCCUCUGAUACAGCACGUCUUGAGUCCGAUAGAGGUGGGUGGAAUUCCUAGUGUAGCGGUGAAAUGCGUAGAUAUCGGAAGGAACACCAGUGGCGAAGGCGGCUUCCUGGUCCAACACUGACGCUGAGGCGCGAAAGCGUGGGGAGCAAACAGGAUUAGAUACCCACGUAGUCCCUGAGCGGGCUGGCAAGGCGCAU
rnacentral:rRNA from 1 species